UUAUCUCCUUAGAUUAUUUGUUUAGUCACUUUUAAUUAUAGAGAUAAUUGCGCUUUUUC
rnacentral:sRNA from 1 species